GAAAUGCGAUAAGUAGUGUGAAUUGCAGAAUUCAGUGAAUCAUCGAAUCUUUGAACGCACAUUGCGCCCCUUGGUAUUCCAUGGGGCAUGCCUGUUCGAGCGUCAUUUGUACCCUCAAGCUUUGCUUGGUGUUGGGCGUCUUGUCGGAAUAUCCGACUCGCCUUAAAUACGUUGGCAGCCGGCACUUUGGCCUAGGAGCGCAGCACAUUUUGCGAUCGUAAGCCGUUGUGACAGCAUCCAUAAGAUUUAUUUUACCACGUUUGACCUCGGAUCAGGUAGGGAUACCCGCUGAACUUAAGC
rnacentral:misc_RNA from 1 species